CCUACGGGAGGCAGCAGUAGGGAAUCUUCCACAAUGGACGAAAGUCUGAUGGAGCAACGCCGCGUGAGUGAAGAAGGGUUUCUGCUCGUUAAGCUCCGUUGGUAGUGAAGAAAGAUAGAGGUAGUAACUUGCCUUUAUUUGACGGUAAUUACUUAGAAAGUCACGGCUAACUACGUGCCAGCAGCCGCGGUAAUACGUAGGUGGCAAGCGUUGUCCGGAUUUAUUGGGCGUAAAGCGAGUGCAGGCGGUUCAAUAAUUCUGAUGUGAAAGCCUUCGGCUCAACCGGAGAAUUGCAUCAGAAACUGGUGAACUUGAGUGCAGAAGAGGAGAGUGGAACUCCAGGUGUAGCGGUGGAAUGCGUAGAGAUAUGGAAGAACACCAGUGGCGAAGGCGGCUCUCUGGACUGCAACUGACGCUGAGGCUCGAAAGCAUGGGUAGCGAACAGGAUUAGAUACCCGAGUAGUC
rnacentral:rRNA from 1 species